rnacentral:rRNA from 1 species
UACGUAGGGUCCGAGCGUUGUCCGGAAUUACUGGGCGUAAAGGGCUUGUAGGUGGCCAACUAAGUCAGACGUGAAAUCCCUCGGCUUAACCGGGGAACUGCGUCUGAUACUGGAUGGCUGGAGUGUGGGAGAGGGAUGCGGAAUUCCCGGUGUAGCGGUGAAAUGCGUAGAGAUCGGGAAGAACAUCGGUGGCGAAAGCGCUCUACUGGGCCAUAACUGACACUGAGGGACGAAAGCUAGGGGAGCGAAUGGG